rnacentral:siRNA from 1 species
GAUUCGCUAAUUCAUCUGCGAGAC